CGCGUAGGCGGUUUGUACAGUCAGAUGUGAAAUUCCUGGGCUUAACCUGGGGGCUGCAUUUGAUACGUAUGGACUUGAGUGAGGAAGAGGGUCGUGGAAUUCCCAGUGUAGAGGUGAAAUUCGUAGAUAUUGGGAGAACACCGGUGGCGAAGGCGGCGACCUGGUCCUUGACUGACGCUGAGGCGCGAAAGCGUGGGGAGCAAACAGGAUUAGAUACCCUGGUAGUCCACGCUGUAAACGAUGUGUGCUGGAUGUUGGGUGACCUAGUCACUCAGUGUCGUAGCUAACGCGCUAAGCACACCGCCGUGGGGAGUACGGCCGCAAGGUUGAA
rnacentral:rRNA from 1 species